GGGCGGUCGGGCCGAAACACUUACCCGGUCUCUCUCCCCCGUUCAACCUGUGGCCGUUCCCCACGAGGCCACGACCCACUCCUCUGCCACGAACUCACCUUCUCCCUCCCCCUGCGCACACCUUCCUCCACGGCCGGCCAGAUCUGCUGCAUUCACCUCCAUUGACCCGGCCCUCGCGUUGGCCCGUCUCCAUCGAGCCAAAUCCUACGCCGGAGCUCCUCCUUCCUCGGCCUUCUUCUCCGCCAAACCGGCAGCGAAGCACCCCGCCAGAGCAGACGCGUUCCCCAGCCCCGGACCGGCGGCGACGCGACCCCGCACCCUGCUUCUCCCUCUCGGCAUCAUCCUGCACCCUGCAGCGUCGAUCCCUCGCCAGGUCUUGACAUCCCGUGACUGGGAGUUCGAUUCCUGUUGGAUCCAGGCCCUUCGCGUCCAACAACGACAACAAAAGAAGGCAGCAGCUGCUCCCGCAGAUUCCAACCGGAGACGGCCCCCUCUGCUCACGCGCCCCUCGGAGAUCCCCUACAGUUCAACUCCCUGGCCGCGAAGUACAGGGAGGAUUCUCUCGAAGCCUUGCCUCAAACUCUCCGUCCAAAGCCAUGACUGCAGGGGUCAUGUGGACGACGGCGAGAAGCACGGCGAGGUGGAUGCGGCGUAGUACCUCACUAGAUUCCCCUCCUGCUCUUCGUCCACAGGAUCAAUUCACCGAAGCAACAUCAGCAACAAUACGUGCAAGCAAACAAGCAAGCAGGCAAGCUGGUUGAUUGAUGAACAGUAGCUGCAGCCUCUUCAGAGGUAACCUUCGAUCAAGCCAUCGAUUCGAUCUGAACAUAACUAGCUCUCGACGGACGGAAUUCACGUGAGCUUGUGAAAGAAAACCGUUUCACGUGCUGGAGUAUACGAGCUAGCACUCUAAAACCCAACAUAAACAUUUUUGUUGAUUAUGGUAUCCAUAUCAGCCUAACUAUUUGCUUGCCUAAUGAUUUUGUUAGUUGGUUGCCUUUGCCUAAUAUGUCUAUCUGCCUAGUUAAACAUUUCUAUUAAAUAUGGUAUCCAUACAGCUGGACUGAAACUUGUAUAGGAACACAUUAGUUCAAUAAUGAAAAAGGCCUGCUUGGAUGGUUUAUACAAUUACAACUCCGUCAGUUCUAAACUUCUAAUACUACAAGAUAUGUGUACAAGUAGAAGCACAUCAGUGCUUGCUGAAUAAUGCCGCCAAAAUCACAUUGAUUUUACAAAGGAUUAGCACAUAGCAUUACUGUUAUGCUAUUUUUAGUACACAUAAAAGUAAACUCUCUUAGGGGAAAGCAACACUGCAUCUGAAUGAAAGAUUCUCUGUCUUUCAGUGGUCAUUGAUGCCGCACACAAGAUGUAGUUAACAACAGGAUAUUGCUUUGAUAUGUGCACUGACAGUUCCAUCUGUUUGAUCAAUUCAUCGAUUCUCCUCCCCCAGUUGGAGCUGCUUACAAUUCCCCUGUUGGCACUUCUGUUAGCCAUUAGUAUAUCAUUAAGCAAAUAAAAGUAAGAGGCUGCGGACUGUACUUUAGACCAAUAAAGUUAGCAGCAAAAGACAUGCUUUCUUUUAGUCAAUCUAUAACCUUUUUGGCAUUGAGUUCUAGUAAAAAAAGCAUGCUUUCUUCUAGUCAAUGAUUUCUACACUAACUUGCCUAAUAAUGACAGAAAGUUGCCUAUAAUAUUUUUUUGGCAUAUGAUUUACGGCAACUAGCAAGCGGAGGGGAUGAGAGAGGUGUCGGAGUACCAGCGACCAGCAAGAGAAACAAGAGGAAGAGCCAAGGAGACAGCGCCAUCUGUGCGCCACGACCAUCUAGCGGGUGGAGCUAGAUCCGGGAAAGCAUUGUCUCGAGUGGUCGAGGAACUGGUCCGUAAAUUACCGGUUUGAUGGCUGGUGAGGACCGUGAAGCCAUGGAACGGGGAGCCAAGAUGCUCAGGACUAAUGCUUCGACGAUGAUGCGAAUCUGUGCAGCUCUAGCAGAAGCAGCUGUGGAGUGAGGGCGCUUUGACAGGGUUGUGGUGUGGGGGUGCUUCUCUCCCUCCCGGAUGGUUUUGGUGUUAUAUUACUGCUGGUCUUUGCUCCUGCGUGAGCGUCUAUCUGCUCAAUAUGUGAGCCUUUUGGGGUCGUUAGCUGUUGUUGGCUUCCUUUAUGUAGGGUCAAAACUGUUUUAGUUUGAUAGGUGUAGCCUGAUCUUUGGUGUCACUGGAUUUUCGUCCCACAGUGGGCUGCUCGAUGACGAGUGUUCGCGAUGGGUUUUCCAGUGGUGCUUUGAACUCACUCUCCCCUUUCUAGCCUCCUUAAGUCAGUCGGUAUCCUGGGUGGUUUUGGUGACACUGAACUUUGUAUAUUUCCGUUAUGAUAAGUAGUGGAAAGGGGUUGCGUCCGG
rnacentral:rRNA from 1 species